rnacentral:rRNA from 1 species
ACUCCUACGGGAGGCAGCAGUGGGGAAUAUUGCACAAUGGGCGCAAGCCUGAUGCAGCCAUGCCGCGUGUAUGAAGAAGGCCUUCGGGUUGUAAAGUACUUUCAGCAGUGAGGAAGGGUGGGUAUGUUAAAUAGCAUAUUCAUUUUGACGUUAGCUGCAGAAGAAGCACCGGCUAACUCCGUGCCAGCAGCCGCGGUAAUACGGAGGGUGCGAGCGUUAAUCGGAAUUACUGGGCGUAAAGCGCAUGCAGGUGGUUUGUUAAGUCAGAUGUGAAAGCCCGGGGCUCAACC